GGGACUGAGACACGGCCCAGACUCCUACGGGAGGCAGCAGUGGGGAAUAUUGGGCAAUGGACGCAAGUCUGACCCAGCGACGCCGCGUGCGGGAUGAAGGCCUUCGGGUUGUAAACCGCUUUCAGCAGGGAAGAAGCGAAAGUGACGGUACCUGCAAAAGAAGCACCGGCUAACUAUGUGCCAGCAGCCGCGGUAAUACAUAGGGUGCAAGCGUUGUCCGGAAUUAUUGGGCGUAAAGAGCUCGUAGGUGGUUAGUUACGUCGGGUGUGAAACUCUGGGGCUCAACCCCAGACCUGCACUCGAUACGGGCUAGCUAGAGUUUGGUAGGGGAGAC
rnacentral:rRNA from 1 species